rnacentral:rRNA from 1 species
AUGCUGACAUGAGUAGCGAUAAAGAGGGUGAGAGACCCUCUCGCCGAAAGACCAAGGGUUCCUGCGUAAAGCUAAUCUGCGCAGGGUUAGUCGGCCCCUAAGGCGAGGCCGAAAGGCGUAGUCGAUGGGAACCACGUUAAUAAUCGUGGGCCUGGUGGUAGUGACGGAUCUCGUGUGUUGUAUCUCCUUAUUGGAUUGGAGGUGCAGCGAAGAGGUUCCAGGAAAUAGCUCCACCGUAUAAACCGUACCCGAAACCGACACAGGUGGUCAGGUAGAGAAUACCAAGGCGCUUGAGAGAACUCGGGUAAAGGAACUAGGCAAAAUGGUGCCGUAACUUCGGGAGAAGGCACGCCGGUGGUAUGUGACGCCCUUCGCGGGUUGAGCAGAAGCCGGUCGAAGAUACCAGGCCCCUGCGACUGUUUAUUAAAAACACAGCACUGUGCAAACACGAAAGUGGACGUAUACGGUGUGACGCCUGCCCGGUGCCGGAAGGUUAAUUGAUGGGGUUAGCGUAAGCGAAGCUCUUGAUCGAAGCCCCGGUAAACGGCGGCCGUAACAAUAACGGUCCUAAGGUAGCGAAAUUCCUUGUCGGGUA